GAGAAAUAAUGUCAAGAGCAACGCGCGUCCAGUGACCGGAUCCAUCGGAGAAGCCGGAGCAACCGAUCCAGGAUCGAUAAUCGUUACGAAGCAAGGCACCGCGAAGGACCCGUGUACACAGAGCCUAGCCGGCGAGAACCGAACAGGGAUACGAACGUGGCACGCAUGUCGAUCGGUAAAAGCAGCCCGUGAAAGUGUCGCCUGGCGCGCGACGGAGUAAUCGUGAGCGCUCAGAGACACGGAGUGCCGCGAUCGUGCAUGAUCUAUCGGUGGAACAGGUGCGAGCCACGUUUCCGGAGGCAGUAGCGGCCCGCUGGGCGACCACGUCGGCCAACGCGAAGACACACCGGGGUGAAGAAAGGCGAAGAAAAUGAGCCGGCUAACCGGGACGAAUGGGUCUCGGCGCGAUCGAGGAAACGGUGGUCGGUGAAUAGGGAGCGUGAAACAGGCUCGUUGGAUUUUUCGCGUAUACGUGACACGAGACCGGUCGGCGACUUUUGCACCCCUCGACCUAGCCCAAGCUCCGUCCAAACCGACGAAACGACACGCGCUGGUGCUGUGACAGUGAUCUCUCCGUCUUGUUUUUGCUUUCGUUCGUCCCACGUCCUCGUGGUGUUUUGUUGGUUUCUCCUUUGCCGCGUCCCUCGUGCGUGACCGGUACAGCUGAUCGGCCGAGUGUCCGGAGUACGAAAUCGUCGCGUGCAACGAUCGGGUAUUUGUCAACGUUGAGAAGCGGGCCCGACAGCUUGGUGGAGGAGCAGGAAGAGGUGGACAGGUCGAGGUGCCGGGGAAAAAGGAACACUCCCGCUGAAUAGACGUUGCUUCUCUUAUCGGAUAACGUCCAAGGGACCCGGUUUCAGAGGCAGCGAUUCGAAUGACGAUUCCGAUGUGUCAAGGUACGAGGGGCAGGUGACGAGCAGGUUUCAGACGAGAAUCUCCAAAGAUACCUCGAACGAAUCCGGCAGGAAAGCUCGUCGACUGAAGCGAACAUGCUCGUGAUAAGCCAGCGUCGAAGGCAUCCCUGCUGGAGGAUGCUGCUCGUCAUCGUCAUUUUGUCCGGCCUCAUUAGGUAUUGCGAACCAAUGUCCACGAAGAGGCUAACAGACUCGUCACCCUCGUCGUCGCCCACGUUAUCGAGAAGUUCCGCUGAAUCGAGGUCGCAGAACCUUGGCUCGCCUAGCGACUUAGCCUGGCAGGCUUGGCUUCUCCUGGACUCUCAAACGGGAGCCCACUCCAGCUUGGACUCCGCCAGUUUCCUCAAACGGAUCACACCCAAGAGCGUGUUCAUUGCACCAGCGUUACCAGCACUGCCGCCUUGCGCGGACGGUUAUCGAGCAGACACGAUGGGUAGAUGCGUGAAAAGCGUGAAUAUCAAUCACGAAGCUCACCUCGGUUUCCUUUUGCAGCGACUGAACGACCGGUACGGAAACCGAGGCAGCAGUUCCGAGGCAUCGUCCUCUGGUAGCAGUCAGAAGAAGUCCAGUGGCCCAUUACAGUUGAACAUCCCUCUGUUUUCCGACAUGGACACCAAGUCGUCCGAAGUGGACCACGAAGAGACCAGAGACUCGAUGAACGUACCAGUCGUGGUUCCACCACGAGAGGAAAUAGACGUGGAGGAAGAAGAGCAACCGUUGGAGUCUAUUGUCACGUUCUAUCAGACGAAGAACAGCAGUGAGGAGGAAGAGAACGACGCGAAUGUAUUUAAUGGGAACGAUACGACUAUCGUCUCCGAUGAUACCUCUGACGAGGAUGACCAGAGUACCACGUCCACGCUCGACACGGUGGUUCCCGUGGCCGAAUUCGUCGACGACACGAACGACACGAAUUUCUCUGGCGUGAUCGACUAUAAGAUCCCCAUCGAUAUGCCCGUGUCGUUCAACGUGUCUAACGAGAGAACUAUGAACGUGAGCGAAGAGGAGGAGGACUUGUGGAGUAACGAGUCUCAGCUGUCGAACUCGACCGAAGUGUCACCUAUGCUGAUCCUCCUCUCGUCGACGACGAUAUCGCCCACUUCGGUAACACCUGAGCUAGAAGAGCUAGAGAUGGCCAACAGUACUUCGAGGAGCGUCCAGUUAUAGUAUUGUUCUCCGUUUGAUAGAUCUGUUCUCUUCCUUUAACCCGAUUUCCUCACGAGGAGGAAGCAUACCAGGACUGGUAUCUUGAUCGAGUCUCUGAUCGCCUCGGGAUGAUCUGGGACAACUUGGUGCCAAUGUUGGAAAGCAGAGGAGUGUUCAAUUGUAGCGGUUCAUCAGGCACAUCUCCCUCUUACUCGCUAUCGUUCUUCGUUUCGUAGAUCAUAACCGUAGUCCGCUAUAGUCUCCAAAGACUGUCCCUCUUAAAGGCGAUCGCUAAACGCAAGAAAAGAAAAGAAAGAAUUGUCCGACGCUGCUCGGCAAAGUCCGACAUUACGCAACGUGGCGAUGCACCGGGUAUCGGCAACGCGCUCCGCACGAUUCUGUGUGCUCGUUAACCCGACAGUAAAUGCGUGUUAUAUACGAUCAAUCGGCCCGCCUAUCGGUUCUACGCGACGAACGCGUCGUUGGUCGGCAUGCAAAUGGCCAGGAUUCAUCGGCAGUCGGCAAGAGUUCACGACUCUUAAUUUAUUUGGCACAGUUCCACAGUCUCUGGACGUUCCCACUGCGACAGCAAACUAGGGCCGUGAAAAGCCUCGGCGACACUCGAUUAUCCACCGAUACGUGUCCCUGCUUUCUACGCGAUUAGCUUAAUCGGAUCGCCUAGGCGACGAAGGUGAACGGUCACACGAAAUCGCUUUUUCAGCAGAGCGACAUCUGUGAGAAUCUGAUGCCCCAACACGACUAUCGAUGACCGUUCACCGUGGGAGCCCUGGUCCAUCGAGUAAAUGAAGGUUAGGACGUCUCGUCAGAGACAUGCUCAUUCAGUGAGAGAUCCAAGUCUAUCUGGCUAGCCGCCAUCGUCUCCACCUGUUGACUCAUCGUCUGUCGCGGGGUUGUCGUCGAGAAACCCGUCUACAGAGAGAUACUCCACGGUGAAAGGGCUUCUGAUGGACGGAUACCGUGUUCUUCGUACUGGAACGUAGCCCUUCAUCCAGGGAAUAGCGGAUUCUCUCUCUGUAGUCUCGGCUGUGUAUACUGUUCACUUCCGCAUGCUACUCUCGAGUGCCGAAGCUUCGAAUCUUGGUCGAAUUUCCGCCACGCGUAUCGUUGCCCUUAAUUUCCUGUACCGCGGACUCGAUACAAUGAUAUUUCGAGGUAUUCGAUCAAGAAACGACAUUCGUAUAGGCCUAAGUUACAGAUUAAGAGAUUCUCCUUUCGUAAGAUCGAUGGUAUAACAAUGGCACGUGUAUCCUUAAGCUUACUCGUGAUUAAGGUUAGGAUAACGUGUCAUGUCACUUUAACGUGGGGUUAGAAAGCAAGGGUGAUAUGGAAGGUUUUUAUUACGUAUAUCGAAAAAGUAAGUUACGAUCAGCUUGUAUUUGUACAUUUAUAAAAGAGGCUUAAGGUCGAUGAAAGCUUCCUUACUCUCGAUGUGGCGUUACGGUUUUUAGACGUAUGUCUUAACCUCAAUUUGGUAAGGAACUCGCGAAGUAACGCGCGGACGUCGAAUAUCCCGCGAUUUUAGUGUUAAAAUCCGGCCUAGGCGGCGCUUCCGUCGACCUAGUGUGUGCAUCGUCGUCGUUCGAGAACUGGGAUCGAAAUCGAGAAUCUCGUCCGUAUUCACGCGAACUCGAAAUAUUAGCUAACUUUGCGUCCGAAUUUCCCUCGAAGCAACCCUAUUUUUAGCAUUUUUAUAGUAGAUGCAUCACGAUCGAAGAUUCCACGGCACCAAAACCGAAAAUACAUUCCCAAGAUAGCACGCCAUAACCACAAAGAACGCGGCGAUACACGAAACCUCGAUGUUAUGAAAACAGAGACGAGCGGUAAGGCGAAUGGCAAGGUCGCGUUUAAUCGUUAUUUUAUCGUGCAUGAAACGUAAGUGGAAAGAAUCGUGUACACUUCGUGGGUCAUGGAUCACUGCCUAACUCGAUCAUCGAAGAACCAUCUUCCUUGAUACCGUUUGACGACUGCGAUGAUAAGAUAUGUAAUAGCGAUUAAUCGACCGAUCGAUCUUGCGUUUCUACGGUAAGAAAAAGAUAAAGUAUACAGGAUAAUAAUGUUGCGUGAAAUGCUUGGUUUUAGAGAAACUGCGUCCCAAAUCGAGUAAAAGCUGUGUCUGUAUAGUAUAUUGAAUUACGAAUUACGAUAACGUCCUCGAUCGUAUCUUGAACCCCGAGAAGAUCACCUUCGAAAGUAUCUGUGUACGAUAACAUUUAUAGAACAGAGAAAUCACGUGUCCCUCUGUCACGAAGAAAAAUCUCGAGAGAGGUGCGCGCUGCUCUCCUCGGCAGCGACCAAGUAUUGUCCAUACAGCUUCAUCAUGUGCGUCAUGUCUGCCCCUGUACGGAGAAACGUAAACAGUUGUGGUCGUACUUUCUUUCCUGAAUUUUAAGCUGCUUCUGUUCAUAUGUGAAUUUAAAAGAGAAAAAAGAACGAGAGAAUU
rnacentral:misc_RNA from 1 species